UGGUGCCGAUGGCGGUGGGGGUACACCCGUUCCCAUCCCGAACACGGCAGUUAAGCCCACUUGCGCUGAAAAUACUUGGCUGGAAGCGGCCCGGGAAAAUAAGCAGGUGCC
rnacentral:rRNA from 1 species